ACUUGAGUCCUUGGUGGCGCAGUUAACGCGAUAAGUAGACCGCCUGGGGAGUACGGCCGCAAGGUUAAAACUCAAAUGAAUUGACGGGGGCCGCACAAGCGGUGGAGCAUGUGGUUUAAUUCGAUGCAACGCGAAGAACCUUACCAGGCCUUGACAUCCUUGGAAUCCUGCAGAGAUGCGGGAGUGCCUUCGGGAAUCAAGUGACAGGUGCUGCAUGGCUGUCGUCAGCUCGUGUCGUGAGAUGUUGGGUUAAGUCCCGUAACGAGCGCAACCCUUGUCCUUAGUUGCCAGCACGUAAUGGUGGGAACUCUAAGGAGACUGACGGUGACAAACCGUAGGAAGGUGGGGACGACGUCAAGUCAUCAUGGCCCUUACGGCCUGGGCUACACACGUGCUACAAUGGAACGCACAGAGGGCAGCAAACCCGCGAGGGGGAGCGAAUCCCACAAAACGUUUCGUAGUCCGGAUCGGAGUCUGCAACUCGACUCCGUGAAGUCGGAAUCGCUAGUAAUCGUGAAUCAGAAUGUCACGGUGAAUACGUUCUCGC
rnacentral:rRNA from 1 species